CGGGGUGAGUAACGCGUGGAUAACCUGCCUCACACAGGGGGAUAACAGUUAGAAAUGACUGCUAAUACCGCAUAAGCGCACAGUACCGCAUGGUACAGUGUGAAAAACUCCGGUGGUGUGAGAUGGAUCCGCGUCUGAUUAGGUAGUUGGUGGGGUAACGGCCCACCAAGCCGACGAUCAGUAGCCGACCUGAGAGGGUGACCGGCCACAUUGGGACUGAGACACGGCCCAA
rnacentral:rRNA from 1 species